rnacentral:lncRNA from 1 species
AGCCAGCAAAAAUAUCCAUGUUACUUUCAAAGAUAAACAAAAGACAAACAGAUUUUCAGAGAAGUGGAGGUGGAGCUAAAGGUAUUUCUGUUUCUUCCUUUAGCUCCACCAAGCUAAAGGAAGAAACAGAAGUAAAAAAAGAAGCACCUCUAUAAUUUAGAAGAUGCUUGGGAUGACAUCAUUCUUGCAGAUGACAAUGGCUUAAUGAUACCUUAUCAAAAUGGUAAUGUGUUCAUUAGUCAUUCUCAAGAAGAAACAUAAGAAAAAAAAAUGUUAGAAGAAGCAAAGAAAAAGAAAAAAUUGCAAGAAGAAAUUGAUGCCUCAGUGUCCAGAGUAGGAUCAAUUCAAUGGGUGUCAGCAGAUUUAAGGGUUCAGUUCUAUGCAAAAUGUGGGAGCAACAUAAAUGCUGAAGCUGAUGAAAGU